rnacentral:rRNA from 1 species
CCUACGGGGGGCAGCAGUGGGGAAUAUUGGACAAUGGGGGGAACCCUGAUCCAGCCAUGCCGCGUGUGUGAAGAAGGCCCUCGGGUUGUAAAGCACUUUCAGUGAGGAAGAACGCCUGGUGGUUAAUACCCAUCAGGAAAGACAUCACUCACAGAAGAAGCACCGGCUAACUCCGUGCCAGCAGCCGCGGUAAUACGGAGGGUGCGAGCGUUAAUCGGAAUUACUGGGCGUAAAGCGCGCGUAGGUGGCUUGAUAAGCCGGUUGUGAAAGCCCCGGGCUCAACCUGGGAACGGCAUCCGGAACUGUCAAGCUAGAGUGCAGGAGAGGAAGGUAGAAUUCCCGGUGUAGCGGUGAAAUGCGUAGAGAUCGGGAGGAAUACCAGUGGCGAAGGCGGCCUUCUGGACUGACACUGACACUGAGGUGCGAAAGCGUGGGUAGCAAACAGGAUUAGAUAUCCCUGUAGUC